rnacentral:rRNA from 1 species
GAUGAACGCUGGCGGCGUGCCUAAUACAUGCAAGUCGAGCGAACAGACGAGGAGCUUGCUCCUCUGACGUUAGCGGCGGACGGGUGAGUAACACGUGGAUAACCUACCUAUAAGACUGGGAUAACUUCGGGAAACCGGAGCUAAUACCGGAUAAUAUAUUGAACCGCAUGGUUCAAUAGUGAAAGACGGUUUUGCUGUCACUUAUAGAUGGAUCCGCGCCGCAUUAGCUAGUUGGUAAGGUAACGGCUUACCAAGGCAACGAUGCGUAGCCGAGCUGAGAGGGUGAUCGGCCACACUGGAACUGAGACACGGUCCAGACUCCUACGGGAGGCAGCAGUAGGGAAUCUUCCGCAAUGGGCGAAAGCCUGACGGAGCAACGCCGCGUGAGUGAUGAAGGUCUUCGGAUCGUAAAACUCUGUUAUUAGGGAAGAACAAAUGUGUAAGUAACUAUGCACGUCUUGACGGUACCUAAUCAGAAAGCCACGGCGAACUACGU